CCACCACUCCCAGCUAAUUUUUUGUAUUUUAGUAGAGACCAGGUUUCACCAUGCUAGCCAAGAUGAUCUCAAUCUGCUGACCUCAUGAUCCGCCCGCCUCGGCCUCCCAAAGUGCUGGGAUUACAGGCAUGAGCCACCGCACCCGGCCUGGAAGCAACUUUUCUAACAUGAAGUUCAGACUUUUGAAGAGAAACACACUAGAAGGAAGCUGCUACUCAGCCAUGCACCUCUGCAAAUCUUGGAAAGAGUCAAGGAUUCCUGAGGCAAGGAAGUUGGAUAAUGAUGAGCACCAGGCAAGACACAGCUGGCCACUGGAGAGAGAGCCCAGUGUAGGCAGGAGGCCAGAAUGUGCCAACAGAUACAAGCUGAACUGUGGACAUCCUGGCACUGGGAAUUAA
rnacentral:lncRNA from 1 species